rnacentral:tRNA from 1 species
GUGGGUGUAGCUCAGUUGGUUAGAGCAUCGGAUUGUGGUUCCGAGGGUCGAGGGUUCGAGUCCCUUUACCCACC